rnacentral:misc_RNA from 1 species
GAUGAAGAACGCAGUGAAAUGCGAUAAGUAAUGUGAAUUGCAGAAUUCCGUGAAUCAUCGAAUCUUUGAACGCACAUUGCGCCCUCUGGUAUUCCGGGGGGCAUGCCUGUCCGAGCGUCAUUUGCAACCCUCAAGCCCGGCUUGUGUGAUGGGUGCCGUCCCCUACGGGACGCGCCCCGAAGGCAAUGGCGGCGUCGCGGUUAUCCGAUCAGCCAAAGUGUAUGGGGCUUUGUCACUCACUUUACGGCCCGGACCGGCGCCAGUCCGAAUCAAUCUUUUUUCUAAAGUUGACCUCGGAUCAGGCAGGGAUACCCGCUGAACUUAAGCAUAUCAAUAAGCGGAGGA